rnacentral:rRNA from 1 species
GUUGGGAAUAUUGGACAAUGGGGGAAACCCUGAUCCAGCAAUGCCGCGUGGGUGAUGAAGGCCUUCGGGUUGUAAAGCCCUUUUGGCGGGGACGAUGAUGACGGUACCCGCAGAAUAAGCCCCGGCUAACUUCGUGCCAGCAGCCGCGGUAAUACGAAGGGGGCUAGCGUUGUUCGGAAUUACUGGGCGUAAAGGGCGCGUAGGCGGUUGUGCAAGUCAGAUGUGAAAGCCCUGGGCUCAACCCAGGAUGUGCAUUUGAUACUGCACGACUAGAGUGUCGGAGAGGAUGGUGGAAUUCCCAGUGUAGAGGUGAAAUUCGUAGAUAUUGGGAAGAACACCGGUGGCGAAGGCGACCAUCUGGACGACAACUGACGCUGAGGCGCGAAAGCGUGGGGAGCAAACAGGAUUAGAAACCCCGGUAGUCC